CAUCACUGGGACACUCACUGAUGCCGAGUGCCAUUGUGACACUGUGACUGCCUGUUCCCUGUUCCCAUCCACUCCCUGUAGCCAGGUCGGUAGUCCAGGCAGAUGUCAACAGGGAUGGUUUGGUUCCUACUGCCAGAGACAAAAUAUUGCUUUA